GGCACUUUGGCCGAGUGGUCUAAGGCGCCGUGUUCAGGUAUUCGAUUGGUACGCCCGGUCGUCCCUCUUCGCGGUCUAGUAAUAGGCGAGGGUUCGAAUCCCUCAGGUGUCA